rnacentral:rRNA from 1 species
GGCGUGCUUAACACAUGCAAGUCGAGCGAGAAGCCAAUGUUUGAUUCUUCGGAAGAUUACUUUGGUGGAAAGCGGCGGACGGGUGAGUAACGCGUGGGCAACCUACCUGGUACAGGGGGACAACAUCGGGAAACCGGUGCUAAUACCGCAUAACACAUUGAGAUGGAAUCAUUAUGAUGUCAAAGGAGGAAUCCGGUAUAAGAUGGGCCCGCGUCCAAUUAGCUAGUUGGUGAGGUAACGGCUCACCAAGGCGACGAUUGGUAGCCGAACUGAGAGGUUGAUCGGCCACAUUGGGACUGAGACGACGGCCCAGACUCCUACGGGAGGCAGCAGUGGGGAAUAUUGCACAAUGGGGGAAACCCUGAUGCAGCAACGCCGCGUGAAGGAUGAAGGUCUUCGGAUUGUAAACUUCUUUGAUUGGGGAAGAAGAAGUGACGGUACCCAAAAAACAAGCCACGGCUAACUACGUGCCAGCAGCCGCGGUAAUACGUAGGUGGCAAGCGUUGUCCGGAAUUACUGGGUGUAAAGGGCGUGUAGGCGGGGAUGCAAGUCAGGUGUGAAAGCCCAUGGCUCAACUGUGGGACUGCAUCUGAAACUGAAUCUCUUGAGUACUGGAGAGGGAAGUGGAAUUCCUAGUGUAGCGGUGAAAUGCGUAGAGAUUAGGAGGAACACCAGUGGCGAAGGCGGCUUCCUGGACAGUAACUGACGCUGAGGCGCGAAAGCGUGGGGAGCGAACAGGAUUAGAUACCCUGGUAGUCCACGCCGUAAACGAUGGAUACUAGGUGUAGGAGGUAUCGACCCCUUCUGUGCCGGAGUUAACACAUUAAGUAUCCCACCUGGGGAAUACGACCGCAAGGUUGAAACUCAAAGGAAUUGACGGGGGCCCGCACAAGCAGUGGAGUAUGUGGUUUAAUUCGAAGCAACGCGAAGAACCUUACCAGGGCUUGACAUCCCUUGACAGCUCUAGAGAUAGAGUUUCCCUUCGGGGCAAGGAGACAGGUGGUGCAUGGUUGUCGUCAGCUCGUGUCGUGAGAUGUUGGGUUAAGUCCCGUAACGAGCGCAACCCUUAUUGUUAGUUGCCAGCAAGUAAGGUUGGGCACUCUAACGAGACUGCCGGUGAUAAAUCGGAGGAAGGUGGGGAUGACGUCAAAUCAUCAUGCCCCUUAUGUCCUGGGCUACACACGUACUACAAUGGCUGGUACAGAGGGGAGCUAAGCCGCGA